GAGGUUUGAUCCUGGCUCAGAACGAACGCUGGCGGCAGGCUUAACACAUGCAAGUCGAACGGUCUCUUCGGAGGCAGUGGCAGACGGGUGAGUAACACGUGGGAAUCUACCCAAUUCUACGGAACAACAGUUGGAAACGACUGCUAAUACCGUAUACGCCCUUCCGGGGGAAAGAGUUUAUCGGAACUGGAUGAGACCCGCGUAAGAUUAGGUAGUUGGUCGGGGUAAUGGCCCACCAAGCCGACGAUCUUUAGCUGGUCUGAGAGGAUGAUCAGCCACACUGGGACUGAGACACGGCCCAGACUCCUACGGGAGGCAGCAGUGGGGAAUAUUGGACAAUGGGCGCAAGCCUGAUCCAGCCAUGCCGCGUGAGUGAUGAAGGCCUUAGGAUUGUAAAGCUCUUUCACCGGUGAAGAUAAUGACGGUAACCGGAGAAGAAGCCCCGGCUAACUUCGUG
rnacentral:rRNA from 1 species